UGCAAUGACUAUUGUUUCCCUCUUUAUUUUUCCUACUUUUCAUAAUCCCGCUUAGUGAUUCUUUUAUUUUCUAUUUUACUUUAUUAAUUUUAUUUCUAAUAUAGCUUCAGACACAUUGAAACAACCUCCCAAUAAGGCUUUAGCACACUUAGAUCUAAAGACCAUAUCUAUCUCAAAUUUGAAGAACGCAUAUACCAAUCUAAAGGCUGCAUCAUCGAGCUCUCUUAGACCUGUGGAGGUCGAUAGCCACCGCGAAAAGGGUAGGCUAAUUGAUUUAGGAUUUCAAAUUCAUAGUCCAUAUAUGAUUAUAUCCAGGCAAGUAAUUUUAUUUUUGGUUUCAAAAUUAUCUUUUUUAUCAUUUUAUAUUUCUUCCAAAGAUUAAAGAAGAAUGUACUGAGUUCGGUGUGAGAGUGAGAGAAAAAAGAGGAUGUUAGGAAAUUAGGGUUUGGUAAAGUGUACGUUAGAGCAGGAUUUUUGCUAUCCGCCUAGGGUUUUCAUAGUUGGUGUAUAUGGUGAGUAUUUUUUGAUAUUUUCCCCUAUUGGCCAGAAAAUAUUUCUUCCCAAAGCCAUCUACGCAGCGGUAGAGCUUUUCACACUGGAAACUGGUAGCUCGGGGAGAACAAAAGAAAGAUGUAAGUAUAAUUUUUUGUUAUAGCAUUUUUUUCUUUUCAGAAGAUAAGCAGAUUUCAUUUCAAAAAACUUUGAGAUAUAUGGUAGUGUAAUUGAACGAAGUCUCAUAUUAUUGACAUGUGAAUUUUGGGGGUUUGUUCUAGUAUCAUUCUUUUCUUGUUCUAUUUAUUAAUUUAUUAUCGAGCCGAUCAUUUUGCUUUUGAUUGAAGCAUUUAAUCAAAAGUGGGGAUCUGUUAGAGGUUUUUCAUAUUAUAAUUCAUGUCUAUUUAAAAAUGAUGCCUUGAUUGUGUUAUUUCUGUAUUGGCCAAGAAAAAUAUCUGGAAGUUGUUGCUCUUCCAUGUUUUGAUGGUAUGUUGAACAUUUAGACCCAUAUUUGUGGUAUGCACUUCUUAUUUUUCUUUUACUGACACAGAGUUCUUUUCAUCUUCUAAUUUUGGUACAUAUAUGUUUAUGAAGCAAAAAAUGUUCAUUAAAGAAAAAUGGAUUAUAUGAUUUUGAGAUUAAAACAUCGAUACAACAGACACCACUUUUGAAUUAGAAAUACUACAUUAUAAGAUUGAUUUAAACUACUCUACAUAAAAGUUGCAUUUUUUUGCGGUUACUAUCUUUGUUGUGUGUUGAUACCAAUUUGGUUAUGAAAAGUUCCCCCUAAUUCUGGUUGGCAUAUCGAUAACUUUCUGAUGGAUAUAGCAGAAGGCAUUAGUAACUUGCGUGGUGCUCCAUAUCAUUAGACCAUCUAGUAUAUAUUAUUGUAAAGGAUAUACUUAUAGUUUACAUUUACUGAAUUAAGUUUCAUUAAGAUGCAUCACUUGUAGUAAUUCGUUUGGCAUCCUUAUAGAUGAGUAUUAGAUUAAAAGUUUCUCUACUUGUCAGGUUUCUGCUGUAGACUGAGAAGAUAUCAAUUUCUUAGCCUUCUAUUUAUGAUUAUGUGUAGAAUUGAAUCUUAUGCUACAGUCUUGUCUGUUAAUCUAUUUGUGGCAAAUUAAACCUUCCUUUCGUAAAUCUUAUCUUCGUUUGUUCCUCGUCUUAAUUUUUUUUUUGUAAUUUUAGUGCUGCCUUUUGACUUUUUCGCUUUUACUACUUGCCUUAAACUUUGUUGUCUUGAAUUGCUGGAUAUAGAGAAAUCUUGGAGGCAAUAUUCUCUGCUUUUAUCGGGUAAGAAAGUACCAAUUAUUGCUUAGGAAUUGGAUAAUGGUAAAGUGAACAUCAACUCAAUGUACGAGGUAAUAUUGGCCUUAAUGAUCAAACAACUGGUUUGUACAUGGAUCUCUCUCCUAUAAACCUUGAGACAAGAUUACAAUCACCACUCAAAUAAUUAUUUUUAAUAGCUUUCUUAAAACUUUCCCAUCUUUACAUAAAGACAAUAUUUGUCUAAAGGUUUAUUAAAGAUGUAUGAAGAAUGAAUAAAUAGCUUUGUUGGAGUAAUAGUAAAGUUACAUGCAAUUCAUGUAUUUUCCGGUAAACCACAACUUUAUGAUAGUAUACUUUUCUGUCAUGCUUAACUGUUGAGUGAAAUCCAUUUUGGUCUAUUGCUAUGUUGGAAAAGACAGAAGAUGAGGGGAAUCACUGUUUCGCUAUGUCCUGAAUAGUAAGGGCGAUGUGUAAAAGCUAUUGGUUGGCACUCAUUUGAAGUUAAAAUAUCUAGCUGCUUUUGAGGUGAAUUCUGCUUAACUGCUUAAUUAGAGCUAAUGAUGUAGCUUUAGCUUGAAAUUUAUACUUACCAUUUUACUGAAAAUGGAUUUUUGGAAAGUGAUGCACUUCUUCGGUGUUACACAGAUUGCUAAGAAAUUGUACAGAGACCAUCUGCACUCUUUCCUCAUGAGACAUCAAGCAAGAUUAAAUCAUAUUUUGGAGUUGUUUCAUGGAGAACUGGUAAAAAUUAUCUAGUAUUGUAUGUUAUAAAUUUGACUUUGAAAUGUGUUGAUGCAACUUGCCAAUUAAUUUAAGGUUAUGUAAAGUGUCAUCUAAUUCAAUUUACAAGGAUGUAACAUUCUGUCACCUGAUGCUUUGGCCCUUUUCCAAUGAUUUUCAUAUAAGAGUAAGGUUGAAAAUUAUUGUGCUCCAGCAUGUAAUUUAAAAGGACUGCUUAAUGUUUUUGAUCAGUAGUUUGUCUCUUACAUGAAUUGUGUAAUUGCAUCUUCUUAAGGCAUUUUUAAUUGUCAAUUCAGACUGUCUUAUAGAAAUAUAAUUUGUAGGCCAAAUUUAUUAGCACCCACCAAACAGAAAUCCAGUUUACACGAAUGCUUCUUGCCAAAUUUUUUUAUUUUCAGGUGAUUCUUUCUUAUACUAACAGAUUCCAUUCAUAUUAUGUUUCUUUCUACAAGCUAUUUCAGGUUGAACAUCAGUAUUUAUCCAACGAAUAAUUAUAGAAGCAUACUAUAAUUAUAUUAAAUAAGGCAUAAGUUGUUGACAUCAACAUGAAUAAGUCAACAAGACUUAUUAUGAAAAGUAGACAAGGUCAAAGGUCUAGAUAUCUUAUAGAUAAUUUUGACAUUGAAGAAGUUAGUCACUUUGAUUCUUUAAUUUGUAUAUGUCUGAAUAUUUAGUCCCCUUCUGAGAUCCAUUCAUAGUGCAUGAUUAUUCCUAUACAAAGUGCUCUGAAUAGGUAGACUUAUGCGGUAUAAUUUGCAACUUUUGAUAGAUUUAGCUGAUUAUUUCAAACUUAAUGAUUAUUUUUACCAUUCAAAGUUUUUUCUAACAUUUCUUUUUCAUCAUUUGUAGGUGGAUCAAAUAAGCUAAUGUGUAUAUUGAAGCAGUGAAGAUGAUAUUGAGUCAUAUGAGAUUGUUGAUGAAACAUUAGUUUGUUUAGAUACUUUAGAUUAAUUUGUUUUAGAACUUCUAAUUAAUGUGCGAAAUUCUGUAUGUUACUCGUUGUAUAUUCUAAAUGAUAAUUUUGAUUAUAAAUAAUAGUAUCCUAUCGUGAUUUAUAUAUCA
rnacentral:lncRNA from 1 species